CCCGCCUGUUUACCAAAAACAUCACCUCUAGCAUUACUAGUAUUAGAGGCACUGCCUGCCCAGUGACACUAGUUAAACGGCCGCGGUAUCCUGACCGUGCAAAGGUAGCAUAAUCAUUUGUUCCUUAAUUAGGGACUUGUAUGAAUGGCCCCACGAGGGUUUGACUGUCUCUUACUUUUAAUCAGUGAAAUUGACCUUCCCGUGACGAGGCGGGAAUAAUAUAAUAAGACGAGAAGACCCUAUGGAGCUUAAAUUAAAUUAUCCAAUAUGAUUAAAUCUUUAUAAACCUAGUAGGAAUAAUAUUAUUUUUAACUGGAUAAUAAAUUUUGGUUGGGGUGACCUCGGAGCAUAAAAUAACCUCCGAGUAAUUCAACUAAGACUAAUUCGUCAAAGUGACUUUACUAUUGAUCCAAUCAUAUUGAUCAACGGACCAAGUUACCCUAGGGAUAACAGCGCAAUCCUAUUUAAGAGUUCCUAUCGACAAUAGGGUUUACGACCUCGAUGUUGGAUCAGGACACCCAAAUGGUGCAGCAGCUAUUAAAGGUUCGUUUGUUCAACGAUUAAAG
rnacentral:rRNA from 1 species